rnacentral:rRNA from 1 species
UCUGGUGACCAUAGCGGAGGGGAUCCACUCGUUCCCAUCCCGAACACGACCGUUAAGCCCUCCAGCGCCGAUGGUACUUGGGGAUGACCCCCGGGAGAGUAGGACGUUGCCAGGC